AUUAGCUUUUAGUAAGAUUACACAUACAAGCAUCCCUGUCCCAGUGAAAAUGCCCACUAAAUCACCUCGAUCAAAAUGCGUAAGUGUCAAGUACGCAUAAAUGCAGCUCAAAACACUUUGCUCAACCUCACCCCCACAGGAAACAGCAGUGAUAAAUUUUUAGCAAUAAACGAAAGUUUAAGCUAUACUAGUAUUUUAGGGUUAGUUAAUUUUGUGCCAGCCACCACAGCCAAUGUUCUGUUGUCUUCAUUUCAAUCAAGCAAGGAUGAGAAAUAAUUUUCAAAAACUAUAAUCUGUGAAGUCAAGAACUCAUUUUAAUGGAUUGAGAAACCUCCCAAACUUCACUAUCUUUUAAAGCGAUAAACGGGAUUAGUGGGAGUGGGUCCAACUGGAUCGAAUCCUCCUGUGUUUCUUUUUGUUUGGAAAAAAAUGUUAAUCGGAUUUCAACAUUUUUUUCUUUCAAAAGUUGCUCUCCACUUAGAAAUACAAACAAGCUGCCCUGAACCAGAGGUUGCAGAGCAAAUCCCUCAGCUUCCCAGAUCAUAAGUCAUCACUUGAGAAAUGCUCCCAAGUUUCUGUUGGCAACACUAGUUUCUAGAACAGGCCCUGUUCUUUCAUACAAUCUUCCAACAAAUUCUUGCUCCUAAAAUGCCCUUCAUCCCUCUGCCUGCUGAUGUCCCAUCAUCAUUCAACAUUCAACAAACAUUUAUGGGGUGGACAAAGAAGUGACGUCCUUCCUAUAGGCUGUUUACAUUCAUUGGGGGCACAGGAGUGCACAGGAUAAACAAAUUAGUGUGUUAUACAGUGAUAUGGUUUGGCUGUGUCCCCACUCAAAUCUCAUCUUGAAUUGUAAUUCCCAUAAUUCCUACAUGUCGUGGAAGGGGCCCGGUGGGAGGUAAUUGAAUCAUGGGGGUGGUUACCCCCAUGCUGCUGUUCUCCUGACAAUGAGUGAGGUCUUAUGAGAUCUGAUGGUCUUUUAUAAGGGGCUUUCCCCGCUUUUGCUCAAGACUUCUCCUUCCUGCCACCUUGUGAAGAAGGACAUGUUUGCUUCCCCUUCCACCAUGAUUGUAAGUUUCCUGAGGCCUCCUCAGCCCUGUGGAACUGUGAGUCAAUUAAAGCUCUUUCCUUUAUAAGGACUUGACUCUAAAAUUACCCAGUCUUGGGUAUGUCCUUAUAGCAGCGUGAGAACAGACUAAUGCAUCCAGU
rnacentral:lncRNA from 1 species